rnacentral:lncRNA from 1 species
UCUUAACAUCACAAUGGUUCUUCUAGCUCAGAGUUCCAAAGUCCUUCCACAGUCCUCCCCAAAACAUGGUCAGGUUGUCACAGGAAUUCCCCACUCCUGGUACCAAUUUGUCUAAGACAUGGGUUUUUAUUCCUGCACAAACAUCAUGAUCAAGAAACAAGUUGGGGAGGAAAGAGUUUAUUCAGCUUACACUUCCUCAUGCUGUUCAUCACCAAAGGAAGUCAGGACUGGAACUCAAGCAGGUCAGGAAGCAGGAGCUGAUGCAGAGGCCAUGGAGGGAUGUUACUUACUGUCUUGCUUCCCCUGGCUUGCUCAGCUUGCUUUCUUAUAGAACCCAAGUCUACCAGCCCAGGGAUGGCAUCACCCACAAUUGGCCCUCCCACCUUAAUCACUAAUUGAUAAAAUGCCCCACAGCUGGAUCUCAUGGAGGCAUUUUCCUCAAGGGAGGCUCCUUUCUCUAUAACUCCAGCUUGUGUCAAGUUGACACAAAACCAGUCAGUACACUUAACUCCCAGGAUACUGGGGAGACAACACAAAGGAUGGGUAGCCAGGGGGGUGGCUGCUCUGUCUUCAUGGAAAUCUCCACAGGGGAUUGGACCCUCCACUACAGGAUCAUGGACAGCUGCUCCCCCACAUGCCACCAAAAUGAUGUCUGCCUGAAGAAGAUGGAGAGUAGCCCUAGGCCUUUCGUGACCUCUUCUUGAGCUGUGUUGCUGCUUCAGGACCCUCCAGCCACACGCACUCCAGGUUCUGCGACUCUGUGAUUCUAUUCUGGAAUCUCCUCCGCUUUCCUAUCCUUUCCUUCUGACCAAAUUCUACAUUCACGUUGAGGUCAGCCAGUGCGCAUCACAAAGCCUUGCCAACUCUUCUGCUUAGAGCAAGUCGCUCUCAUCAGCAGCACCCGCAGCACCCUGCCUCAGCAGAUGCUUCGAAAUGUGUCCCCUUCUGAGCCAGAGAGCUCAGUCGAUAAGGCCUCAGAAGAAUUCCUGACACUCUGAGGGAACCACACCAAGCCUUUCAAGUGUUCUCCUGGGCCUCAUCUUCUGUCUACAUCACCCAGCCAAGAUACAAGCCUGCCACUGAGCUCAGCAGAUGUCCGUGGUAUGAAUGGAUUCUGAGCAGACGGCACAAAAAUGAAGAAGAUGGGAGAAUGGUUGGGAGCCACCCUCUAAUAGAGGAUUACAUUUAAAUACAUUAAAGAUGGGAGCUGUUGUAUGAGUUAGCAUAGCAACAAUGACCUUAUCAUUUCCAAUCCGACAGUACAGAUGGAUGUUCUCAUUGUCUUAAAAAUAGGUCCACGAUGUUACCGCAGGAUUGAUGGAUGGAAGUGCAUGAUUGACAAUUGAAAAUGGGAUUGUGGCUAUAUUCAACCCAGGAAACUGGGGAAUCUUGGGAAGGAAUAUUUAAAAUCCAGACUCCCAAGAGCCAGUAAACCAAUUAGACAAUAGCAAGAUGAGCUUUGCUAGGAUAAGGGAGACCCUGGGCGACAUUUCCAAGCCAAGCCUGGGCAUAGCUGAUUUUCCACCCUGAGCAGCUGAGGUGCUGCUCACUGUAG